rnacentral:rRNA from 1 species
UACCAGCACCCCGAGUGGUCGGGACGUUUAUUGGGCCUAAAGCAUCCGUAGCCGGUUCUACAAGUCUUCCGUUAAAUCCAACUGCUUAACAGGUGGGCUGCGGAAGAUACUAUAGAGCUAGGAGGCGGGAGAGGCAAGCGGUACUCGAUGGGUAGGGGUAAAAUCCGUCGAUCCAUUGAAGACCACCAGUGGCGAAGGCGGCUUGCCAGAACGCGCUCGACGGUGAGGGAUGAAAGCUGGGGGAGCAAACCGGG